GUUACGAAAUAAGGCGCAGUGUACUAGUCCCUGCGACGCGGCGGCGAGCUGCUCCGUCACCGCAGCCCUGUGUCCACGCUCCUCCUCUUCCAGUGACUUCUCCAGGGCGAGCCAGCCCUGCACGCCCCUGUCCGAACCUUAGUCCCCGAGAUCCAGGAGGCGACUGCUCCCGGCGCGCUGGAAGUGGGUGGUGGGGGGGUCGCCGGCCUCAAGGGAUUCCAGAAAGUUCCAAAGACACCACUCGGGGUCGCGGUGCCCUGGGGGAAACCGCUCCGACACUUCCAGCAGGCUAAGGAAGGAAGUUUCGUAGAGAGGAGACCAGGGACAGGGCAGGGACCACGGCCGAUAAAGGGUCCCGUGGGCCGUCCCUGUCGUGCCAAGGCGUCCUGGGGCAGCUGGGGCGGGAGUGGCCGGAAGCCCCAGGCAAACGCAGAGGCGGAGAUGACAUUCCAGGCUGGGAGACCGGGGAAGGCGGACAGGGAAGACAGACAACACAGGCUCGAUCUCACUAGGACCCAGGGUACCACGGCAUGGGACAGGAUGGGAAGGCUGGGCCGAUGAGAACACUGAAGCUCAAAGAAGUAAUUUGCCAAGGACUCCCGGGUAGAAAUGCCAGAGCAAGCAGUCAUACCCAGACACCUUUUGAUUUCAGUGCCUGAAGGCCUCACCAGAUGGGAACAAAACUUCUGCCACUCUUACACGGACACUGCCCUGUGAAAGACCCCAGGGCUCGCUGCAGAUGGCACCAGUUCACCAUCCUCCUCUUGACCCUGGGAGACGAAACGGACCAGGCAGAGGGAAAGCAGACCCAGCUCUUCUUCAGGGGCCCCAUCGGCAAGCACCCCUGCCCCAGCUCCUGCUCACAUCCGUACUAGGCCCUCCCCACCCCGCAGGCCCUGAGCAGGCUGCAGCCCGGUGGGAUGGGGUGCACUGCUGGGUCUGAUCCCUCCACAGUCCACACCCCACAGACACCGCACUCCUGGCUGGUCAUCAGCCUGUGCCUUCGUGCCCACAGGGCCUGACACGUGGCAGUUGCUCAGUAAAUGCUCGGAAAGGGAAGGAGGGGUCUAAGGCAGCCUUUGUUUCUUCUCCAUGCGAAGUCACAGUAGAAAUGGGAGUGACUGAGAGGAGAGAGAGCAGUGGCUGGGGAGUCAGAGAAGAAAAUUAAUGGCGAGACAUGGCUGUCCAGGGGCGGGGCCUCUUGGGCAGGAGGAGGGGAGGUGGUCACAUUGUCCUGUUGUCCUUUUCAGCCAGGCCAGGGAAAGUCCUGUCGCACAGCGUUACACACUCAGCGCCUACCGUUCAGGAGGAGGUCCUCUCAAGGUGCCCAGCAGGAUGUGUUGAACCAGGUCGGGCCCAUGGCUCAGUGGUUUAGCACUGUCCACUGGGAGCUGGACCCCUCAUGUCCAACCACAGCCCGAGUCCCAGCCUUAGCACAUGUUCGUAUGUGCCCAAGAUCCUGACAGAGGGGAGACGUGGAGGAAAAAGGAACAGCGUGACCAGGGCCCGUGACCAGGCCCUCCCCUUCCCCACUCUGGUGAGCGUACUCAUAAAAAGCGUGGCCAUAAAAAUAAUAAA